rnacentral:rRNA from 1 species
UACGUAGGGUGCGAGCGUUAAUCGGAAUUACUGGGCGUAAAGCGUGCGCAGGCGGUUCUCCAAGUCCGUUGUGAAAGCCCCGGGCUCAACCUGGGAAUGGCAGUGGAAACUAGGGGACUUGAAUCUGGCAGAGGGGGGUGGAAUUCCACGUGUAGCAGUGAAAUGCGUAGAGAUCCGGAGGAACACCAGCGGCGAAGGCGGCGUCCUGGACUGGACCUGACGCUCAGGAGCGAAAGCGUGGGGAGCGAUCCGG